GGGCCCGUAGCUUAGCAUGGAUAGAGCGCUGGCCUCCGGAGCCAGAGGUCGUGAGCGGCGGUACGGAAGUGCCGCGCCGGCAGGGUUCAAAUCCCACCGGGCCCG
rnacentral:tRNA from 1 species